rnacentral:rRNA from 1 species
UACGGGGGGGGCAAGCGUUGUUCGGAAUUACUGGCGUAAAGGGCUCGUAGGCGGCCAACUAAGUCAGACGUGAAAUCCCUCGGCUUAACCGGGGAACUGCGUCUGAUACUGGAUGGCUUGAGUGUGGGAGAGGGAUGCGGAAUUCCAGGUGUAGCGGUGAAAAUGCGUAGAUAUUGGGAGGAACACCAGUGGCGAAGGCGGCUCACUGGACCGGAACUGACGCUGAGGCGCGAAAGCGUGGGGAGCAAACGGG